GAGGGGGAAUCAUAUUCAUUUCACCCUAGGUUUUAAUUUAAUUCUGGGGCCAGAGCAAAACAGGUCAGGAGCCCGAGCCUGCUGCUCUUGAAACCGAGAGCGGCCCCACGGACUGCGCGGGACUCAACUUCGUUCAAUGGAUUGUUUGCAUGAUUAUUAGUGGAUUGAAUUAGCUGAUUUAUUUCGGCCUGUCUGGCACUACAAGUGUGGCCUGGUGCCUGCCGAUCAGGUUAUGCAGAGCCUGGCUUGCAGGAUCCAUGUCCCAAAUGGGUGCCUUGAGAACACGGAUCAUUUAAAUCGGGCUGAUGAGAGGCAGAGGCGGAGUGUAGGGCUUUGCAGCGUGCCAAUCACCGCUACAAUUCCGCUUAUGGCAGGCGGCCGCGAUCCCCAGGGCGCUGCAGGGAGCGAUGCUGUCUGCGCUUGUGAACACCUUGGCCAUGUGUCUCCCUCUCUGGGUGGCAUCACAGCCGGAGGAGAUCAGGGCUAUGGAUGGCUGCCGUGGCUGACCUCCUGCAGCAAAGAUUGAUUGAUUUUAAUUUUAUUGGCCAGCCUCUCCCAAUUAAGUGAGUAAUUAGUAACCCAAUUAAAUAACUGAGUAAAAAGUAAUCCCCAGGAAGGGGGAGGAGAAAAAAGAGCAGAGCCGCCUGUUCUGAGUAACUCAGGCCCUGACGCACACUCCCAGCUUCCAGCCCUACAGCAUUUACAAGGAGCAGGACCGGCCCGGGUCCUUAGGCUGCGGCGUCGGGGGGAACGAGAAGAGGCGGAGGCGGUCGAAGUGCACUUGUUCGACUCGCCCAGCGUGACUGACAGCUCCGCAGAAAAGCUGAAGCCGUGUAGAACACUACAUGAUCCGGAUGGGGGAGUUCUGAGAGCAGUGACCAGUCAGAAUACCGGGAUUUGAAUAUUUCAAUCGCUGACAAUUACUACACACCUUUCCUCCGCUCUGGCUGAGACGAGGCCUGGCUGUGAGGGAGAAAACUAGGCGUAUGUUAUACUCUAUAUUAUUUUCAUUGCUGGUCUUGGAAAGUGCCCCUUUAACAAGGGAUGGAAUCUACCCCAGGAUCUGCAAGAGGGAAUAUGGCUGGGAACUCUACUGAAAUAUAAAUGAUAAUAAUUCAUGUGUUCAUAGACAUCCUGAAGUAUAUUUGGCGAUGUAAACAAGUUCUGAAUGAAGACAGUGUCUCAAGCAGCAUGCAGAGCUCUUUAAAGCAAAGAUUAAUGGCCUCAAUGUUUAGGCAAACUCCAAACUCCCUUUACUCACAUGAAAGGUCUGUAAAGAAGUUGACAAUACAUUUGGGCCAGAUGCAAACCCCAUUAAGGCCAAAGGGAGUCUUUCCAUGGACUUCAUUGGGCUUUGGCUCAGGCAGUGCCCCUUGCAGCAUUUUGAUGCAAUGGAGGAGUGAAGAGUAUUCAUUGGUCUUCUGCGAUUGGUGGUGAGAAGCGGCAGGAGAGAUUGAGACUGAUUCUCAUCUUAGCAUGUAAAGAUCCAGAGUGUCCCUUGUCUCAUCAAUCAAGAAGCUUACAGAGACACCAGCAGCAGAAGAUAGGGAGUCAGCAGCCUUGGGCACACGAAAACUGAUCACAGCAGGAGGACCGUUAACGCAUGUGCAGUGUGAUGAAUCUGGUUUGCCGACACAAUUGCCAUAAAUUGCAGCACUUCACUUUGCAGCAAAUGGUUGCAUGCUGUCUCAAGCGGAAGGACUUGGAGGAUGGAGGAAUGAUCCUCCAGGGCAGUAUGCAUUCUAUAUUAUUCAUACAUAAUGCUAUUGUUUUCCUUAGUGCAAACACUUAGGCUGUAUGUAUGCAAGUCAGUCUAUUGCUCCUCUGUUCAUCUUCAGAGUUGCUGAACUGUCUCUUACAAAACAUAAAGAGAAUCAGAUAUUUAGGAAACAUCAUAGGGGGCUUUCGUAUUACACCAAAAAAACAGAGGGUUGGAUAGAAGAAUAUAGUAUCAAUUUAUGCUUGCUUUGAGGAAUAUUUCCUCUCAAUAAAGCACAGCAUUUUAAAACCAA